rnacentral:rRNA from 1 species
UACAUGGGGUGCAAACGUUGCUCGGAAUUAUUGGGCGUAAAGCGCACGUAGGCGGUUCGUUAAGUCGGAUGUGAAAGCCCUCGGCUCAACUGAGGAAGUGCACCCGAAACUGGCGAGCUUGAGUACGAAAGAGGAUCGCGGAAUUCCCGGUGUAGAGGUGAAAUUCGUAGAUAUCGGGAGGAACACCGGUGGCGAAAGCGGCGAUCUGGGUCGAUACUGACGCUGAGGUGCGAAAGCGUGGGGAGCAAACAGG